GUCUGUGUUCCCCUCACUCUCUGUUUGUUCAUCCGUUCAGUUUAUGUGAGUUUCCUUAUGCUUUCUGUUCCCAGUGCUUCCAUGUUUUAACCUGCGCUCCUGUUAAUCGCGUUCUUGACUUUUACCCGUUGUUUUGGACUCUGGAUAACCUGCUGCCCCGGCUGGAUUUAUUUACCUGUUUUGACGGCCUCACAAUCCAGCGACACUGACCUGCAUCUACUAAUCUUAGGGUCCUCCAUCCUGUUUCCCUGCAAACAUCACUGUGGGCCUGUGUAAAUGAAAAGUCUCAGUGCUGUCAUUUCAGCGCCGUGAAGAAUCUGCAACCCACCUCCACCCCUUUUCCACCUCAACAGUGGGUGCCAGACCAUCUUGAACGAAACCAUCCAAUCAGAAGUUUCCCUCAUGAAGACAUUCACCACCACCAGUGUCUAGACUCCAGGGGAAGAUUCCUGUUAUUGGAAGGACCUUAAACCUGUGGAUCGUUUCCAUGGUGAUCCACUUCCUGCUGGCAUAAAGUCUUACUAUAGGAAGGCAUAAAAACGUCAUAGUAAACACCAUGGAGAAUCUGCGACCCACCUCCACCCCUUUUCCACAUCAACUAUGGACGGCAAACCAUCCAAUCAGAAGUUUCCCUCAUAAAAACAUUCCCAUCCUCGAGCUCGAUUCCUCAUCAUCACCACCACCACCAGUGUCUAGACUCAGGGGAAGAUUCAUGAUAAUGGAAGGACCUUAAACCUAUGGAUUGUUUCCAUGGUGAUCCAUUUCCUGCUGGGGUCUAAGCACCAAAGUCUAUUUCUUCUGUUCACAAUAAAUUUUGUUUUAGUACUUGCA